rnacentral:rRNA from 1 species
UACGUAGGGGUCUAGCGUUGUCCGGAAUUAUUGGGCGUAAAGAGCUCGUAGGCGGUUCGGCAAGUCGGAUGUGAAAUCUCCACGCUUAACGUGGAGGGGCCAUUCGAAACUGCUGUGACUCGAGUCCGGUAGGGGAGUGCGGAAUUCCCGGUGUAGCGGUGAAAUGCGCAGAUAUCCGGAGGAACACCGGUGGCGAAGGCGGCUUCCUGGACCGACACUGACGCUGAGGCGCGAAAGCUAGGGGAGCAAACGGG